rnacentral:rRNA from 1 species
AACGAACGCUGGCGGCAGGCUUAACACAUGCAAGUCGAGCGCCCCGCAAGGGGAGCGGCAGACGGGUGAGUAACGCGUGGGAAUCUACCGUGCCCUACGGAAUAGCUCCGGGAAACUGGAAUUAAUACCGUAUACGCCCUACGGGGGAAAGAUUUAUCGGGGUAUGAUGAGCCCGCGUUGGAUUAGCUAGUUGGUGGGGUAAAGGCCUACCAAGGCGACGAUCCAUAGCUGGUCUGAGAGGAUGAUCAGCCACAUUGGGACUGAGACACGGCCCAAACUCCUACGGGAGGCAGCAGUGGGGAAUAUUGGACAAUGGGCGCAAGCCUGAUCCAGCCAUGCCGCGUGAGUGAUGAAGGUCUUAGGAUUGUAAAGCUCUUUCACCGGUGAAGAUAAUGACGGUAACCGGAGAAGAAGCCCCGGCUAACUUCGUGCCAGCCGCCGCCGUAAAAC